AGGAAAGCAGGGGAUCGCAAGACCUUGCGCUUUUGGAGCGGCCGAUGUCUGAUUAGCUAGUUGGUGAGGUAAAGGCUUACCAAGGCUUCGAUCAGUAGCUGGUCUGAGAGGACGACCAGCCACACUGGGACUGAGACACGGCCCAGACUCCUACGGGAGGCAGCAGUGGGGAAUUUUGGACAAUGGGGGAAACCCUGAUCCAGCCAUGCCGCGUGAGUGAGGAAGGCCUUCGGGUUGUAAAGCUCUUUCAGCCGGAACGAAAAGGUUACGGUUAAUACCCGUGACUAAUGACGGUACCGGAAGAAGAAGCACCGGCUAACUACGUGCCAGCAGCCGCGGUAAUACGUAGGGUGCGAGCGUUAAUCGGAAUUACUGGGCGUAAAGCGUGCGCAGGCGGUUUUGUAAGUCAGAUGUGAAAUCCCCGGGCUCAACCUGGGAACUGCGUUUGAAACUACAAAGCU
rnacentral:rRNA from 1 species